rnacentral:lncRNA from 15 species
AUGAAGAUGAUCUUUGUGGUGUUUGUGAUCCUGGUGCAUGUUUCCCAGCAUACCUCAGGAGUUGAGGUCUAUGAGGGGGUGGAGUCUGUGCUGCUGCCCUGCCAGGUAUCUAGGAUACCCGAGGACCUCACAGUGGUGUGGAGCCGCUUUGAUCUCAAUCCCACAACCAUCCACCAACAUCAGGAUAAAGAUGAGCUUUAUGUCCAAAACCAGCAUUACAGCAGUCGAACAACGAUGUCAGCUGACGCUCUGGAGACUGGAGACUUCAGCCUCACUCUAAAGAAACCCCGGCUCUUUGACAGCAGCAAAUACACCUGCAGCAUCCACAGUGGCGGAUAUGAAGUGAGACGGAUAAAAGUACAGCUGCAGGUCAAAGAACCAUACACUUUCCCGUCUGAGGCCUGGGUUCUCCUGGUUCUCCUGGGUGUUCUGGUUGUUGCUUUGGGUCUUGCAGUAUAUCUUAGGUACAGCGUCAUCACAGUCUCCAAGGUGGAGGUGGAAGAGGGGGUCAAGAGUGUCAAGCUUCGUUACAAAACCAAAACCCAGCUACCCGAGGACAUUACAGUGGAGUGGAGCUGCUGUGCACCUGUGCCCAGGAUGGUCCAUGUUUACAAGAAGGGCAGUGACCAAAAGGACCAGUUUAACCCCGGUCGCACAAAGAUUGCAAACCCACCAAAGAAUGGAGACCUCAGUCUGACACUGAGGGACCCCUGUUACAGGGAUAGUGGCACUUACAUCUGCACUGUCUACACUGAGCAAGAAAUCUUGGCACAAAAAGUAGUACAGCUCCGGGUCAAAGUCCAGGGGAAGGUAGUGGUCGAGGAGUGGGAUGAAUUUGUCAAGUUGCCCUUCAUAACUACAGCUGAGCUGCCUAAAGACGCAACAGUGGAAUGGAGGCGCACUGAACCCAAAGCCAUGAUGGUUCAUGCGUAUCAGAAAGGCCAAGAUAGGCCUGAGAAACAGGAUGAAUAUUACCGUGAUCGCACAAAGAUGAACAAUGACCCACUGAAAUCCAAAGACCUCAGUGUGACCCUAUGUCACCCUGGUUACAGUGACAGAGGGACCUACAUCUGCACUGUUUACAAGAAUGGAUGGAUCCUGGCAAAGAAAGUAGUGCUGGUUUGUGUCAAAGUCUCCAGUGUGAAGCCUGCCAAGCUGCCUUACCAAAUCGCAGCUCACCUGCUUGAGGAUGCCACAGUGGAGUGGAGUCGCUGUGACCCCAAACCCAUGAAGGUCCAUGUAUGUCAGAAUGGCCAAGACCAGCCUGACAAACAGGACAAGCUUUACAUCAACCGAACAAAGAUGAAGAGAGAAAUGCUUAAAACUGGAGACCUCAGUCUGACCCUGAGUAACCCUAGUUACAGUGACAAUGGCAUUUAUAUCUGCACAGUUUACAGGGACGGACACAUCCUGGCAAGAAAAGUAGUGCUGCGUCAGGCCAAAGUCCACCAGGAGGAAGUGGACGAGGGGACAGAGUCUGUCCAGAUGCACUUUCAAAGCUCAGUUCAACUGCCUGAUGGUGCCACAGUGGAGUGGAGCCGUUGUGAACCCAAACCCAUAAAGGUCCAUGUCUAUCAUAAUGGCCAGAACCAGCCUGAGGAGCAGGACGAGUUUUACCAAGGUCGCACAAAGGUGAAGGAAAGUCUGCUGGUAACUGGAGAUUUCACUCUGACCCUGAGCAAACCCACCACCAGAGACAGUGAUUACUACAUCUGCACUGUCCGUGAGGAUGAAGACAUCAUAUGGCAGAAUGUUGUAGAGCUGCAGGUCAAAGCAAGAAGAUGGAUGAGAAUGAAAAGAAGACAGGACCGAGAUGAAACAGACGACAUUGUGAACAUGCCCUUGAUGGCCAGCCCCAAUGUGUAGUGCUCCGUAUAAUUUGUCUUAUUCGGUAUAGCUUUGGUGGAUAAUUGAUGGAAUCUGAACUGCGAAUUAAAACGGGGCUUGUGGAUUCCUUCCUUCUCAUUUGCUGUUGUCAGCCCAUUCUCAACCGUAAAUCAUGGAAUACUGCAGCUAUGUCAGUUCAAAUUAUGAUGCUAUAGGUAUCCCUCUAACGUUACUACUGGAUGUGCCUGUGUAGGGUAAUGUUUUGAUGUUCUGUUGAAGUCAUGUGAAAUAGUAUAAAGAGCAAAAAGUCCACGUAUGGAGGUGGUGAGGAGGAUGGAAGACUCAAACAAGACUUUCAUACAGGAGACGGCUGUUUGUAUCCCAUUAGAAAACAAAAGUUAAUGUUGACUCCUUUUAGGUAAAGUUCUACUUGACCACAGAGCCCCGCACGUACAAAACUGAUGCUGGAGGGAUACCGCUGACCAAGCUGCAGUUCUUGAUGAGCUGGAAGUGAGAACGUAUUUCAGUUGUGUAAAAUAAAUGUUGCUGUUAAAUAUUCAGAGUUUCUGAGUUUCUAUAAUGUUUUAGUUAAAAUCAUUAUUCCAUUAUGCUCCUACCUUCAAUAACUCAGUACAUGCAUUAGUUUCUGAUUAUUACACUUGCUUUUAAAUCUCCUUCUCUGGAACACACUGUAUUGUUUUUUCACAUUAGCUGUAUGUAUGUUUUACUUUACACUACGUAUUGGAUUGCCUCUUGCUGCUGCCUCUUGGCCAGGACAUCAAUGUAAAUGAGAAUUGGUUCUCGAUUGAUAUCUCCGGUUAAAUAAAUAAACAAAAAUGCAUCCAGCUGUUGAAUUGAAUUGGAAGAAUUGUUGUGUUUUCCUUACCUUAGAAUAACCUCUUUUUGUGCCUGGGUAGGAUAAAAGAAAAUGGACAAGGGAGUGGGUCGCCUUCCGUGAACUGCCAUUUUUCUACAGUAGCCCUGAAGGGACAAACAAAACGCUGCUUCAAGAUAGGUCUGUUUGCUGUUUUUGCGUUUUGUGGCCACCGUAGUUUCUCCUCUGUGCUUGAAAGGGGAGGGUGAAUUGAGGGAGUAGCAAUCUGCAAAAGACAGAAGUGCUAAUAAUCAGAACAUUGCUGCAGCUUUCACUAAGUUGAUGCACAGAGCAGCCAUCUUAAAAUAAGAUGUUCCUUUAUUGAUCCCCUAUGGGAGAAAUCCAAGUCAGACACAGAAGCACAAGGGAAUGUAGUACAACAAGUAGAGAAGUGUAAGUACAAUAAAGAAUCAUAAAGUAAAAAUAUUAUAAAGACAUAAUAGAAAACAUAAGACUACAAUGAAAAAUACAUACUCUUUAUGUAGUGUGCAGUAAAAUGGUGUGCAAAUUAUUUUAAGCAGAAUAAGUGCAAGUGGAAGGAGUAGUUUGUACAGAGAGUUUGUAGGUUAAGGAUAAACCAGUCUUAUUCAGCUGGGGUUGGAGGAACUUGGAUUUUGAGGUUGGUGAGGUUCUUCCAACUUUCCAAGUUGGAAAUCUGACUUCCCAGUCCAAAUGGAACGCAUUAUAAUCAGGUGAUUAUUUAGAACAAUGAACAAUAUGAAAGGAAUGAAAGCAACCUGUCAGUCUGAUUCUGCUGUUUGAUAACAACUGGAUCAACAAGUCUCACACACACACACACACACACACAGUUGGGCUGAAGCUCCUCCUGUUUCCUCAGAAGUGUCUCAGUUGCAUCCCUCACCUCAUUCAGGAUUUAACUCUGAACCUGAACUCUGAGGUCACUGUACUUUUAUUCAUAUAGUUUAUGAUAAAUGAAGAACACUUUAAUUCAACAUAAACUGUAUGAUUAACAAACUAUUAAGUCAUCAAAUACUGCACUUUACACUUUAUUUAUAGAGCACUUGUGAGGAAGAGUAUUGAGUAUUGAACAUAAAAGUAAACACAUAGUAGUACAAUGACAUAUGAAAUACAACAAUACAGAGAAUGAACCAGACGGAGCCAAAUGAACUAAAAUCAGAUGAAACUAUCUGACACUGUUAUAAAGCUGAUCAACCUGAUAUUUUACAUUCUUAUAUCUCAUGAUCCCAGUCACAGAAAAAGGCUAUCUGAUCUGAUAAUUGAUCGAUAAUCAGUUUAGUUUUCCCAACAUAGUGUAAGUUACAUGGUUACACAGGUUAAAUGUACCUGGUAAGAAAUUCUUAUAAGGAAGUUUUUCCUUGCCCUUGUCUCCAAGGUCUUGCUCAUGGUGGUACUGUUGGGUCUCUGUAAAUAAUGUUAUAAAGAGUUCGGUCUAGACCUGCUCUAUUUGAAAAGUGUCCUGAGAUAACUUCUGUUAUGAAUUGGCACAAUACAAAUAAAAUUUAACUGGAUUGAAUUGAACGACCUGAUGGCAGCAUAUAUGGCUACAAAUAUAUAGUCUGCCUGUUAACUGCAAAUUGGUUGCAGGCAGUUUUUUUCUUCCAGAGCUCUUCACCUGUAUUAUUAAGGAAAAUAUAAUAAUACCUAUUGAAUCAGCACUCAGUAGAUAAUCAAUAUGUAUAUGUGUAUAUACACUACUCACAGAAAGUUAGGGAUAUUCGGCUUUCGGAUGAAAUUUCAGAAUGUACAUAAAAUGCACUAUAACCUUUCCAGGUGAUCUUAAUUUGAACUUCUAUACUUAAAUGCCCUACUUUCAUGAUAUAAUAUCACUGUAGCAUCAACUUUUUACAUUUUCCAUACAUUUCACCCGAA